GAAGGGUGAUUAGGAACAAGUGGAACCAAAUGAAUAAGGGAACUGGGUAAUGCUUGAAGUUGAUGCAGGGAACUGCUUGUCAACUUCUACAACCACAAGUAACGAACGCAAUCGACAUCAGUUUAUUAACAUAAGUUGAUAUUGAAUAAGGUUCUCUUGGUGGGCACAAGUAGUCAGACAAUGAUAGGCAGGCCAAUAGUUCCUGAUGCAGCAGUUCAUGCAGUUGUUGAAAAGCAUUGGUUAUUGGACGAUUUCGUG